UCCGGUUGAUCCUGCCGGAGGCCACCGCUAUCGGGCUCCGACUAAGCCAUGCGAGUUUAGGGGCUCCUUCGGGAGCACCGGCGGACGGCUCAGUAACACGUGGACAACCUACCCUCGGGUGGGGGAUAACCUCGGGAAACUGAGGCUAAUACCCCAUAGGCCUCGGAUACUGGAAGGUUCCGAGGCUGAAAGCUCCGGCGCCCGAGGAUGGGUCUGCGACCUAUCAGGUAGUUGGUGGUGUAAAGGACCACCAAGCCUGCGACGGGUACGGGCCCUGAGAGGGGGAGCCCGGAGAUGGACUCUGAGACACGAGUCCAGGCCCUACGGGGCGCAGCAGGCGCGAAACCUUCGCAAUGCGCGAAAGCGCGACGAGGGGAGCCCGAGUGCCCUUCCUUCGGGGAGGGCUUUUCUGGAGCCUAAAAAGCUCCAGGAAUAAGGGCUGGGCAAGACGGGUGCCAGCCGCCGCGGUAAUACCCGCAGCUCAAGUGGUGGCCGCUUUUAUUGAGCCUAAAGCGUCCGUAGCCGGACCCGUAAAUCCCUGGGUAAAUCCUGGCGCUCAACGUCAGGAAUUCCGGGGAGACUGCGGGUCUUGGGACCGGGAGAGGCUGGAGGUACUCCCGGGGUAGCGGUGAAAUGCUGUAAUCCUGGGGGGACCACCUGU
rnacentral:rRNA from 1 species